GACGAACGCUGGCGGCGUGCUUAACACAUGCAAGUCGAACGGAAAGGCCCUGCUUUUGUGGGGUGCUCGAGUGGCGAACGGGUGAGUAACACGUGAGUAACCUGCCCUUGACUUUGGGAUAACUUCAGGAAACUGGGGCUAAUACCGGAUAGGAGCUCCUGCUGCAUGGUGGGGGUUGGAAAGUUUCGGCGGUUGGGGAUGGACUCGCGGCUUAUCAGCUUGUUGGUGGGGUAGUGGCUUACCAAGGCUUUGACGGGUAGCCGGCCUGAGAGGGUGACCGGACAGAUUGGGACAGAGAUACAGCCGAGACUCAGACCGGAGGCAGCAGGGGGGAAUGUGGCAUAAUGGGCGGAAGCCUGAAGCAGCAACGCCCCGUGCGGGAUGAGGGCCUUCGGGUUAUAAACCGCGUUCGCCGGGGACGAAGCGUGCGUGACGGUAAUGUGUAAGGAGGAACCGGCUAAUUACGUG
rnacentral:rRNA from 1 species